CGAACUUUGGAGCCCAAGGCUUUCUUUAGAUAGGUGCGGAGAAGAGAUAUUGAAAACUAAAAAUAGAAAAGAUCUCCUACGGCUAGCCGUGUCUGAUUCUCCGCCCAUGGAGAACAGCGGAGCACAAUACCCCUUCCCUCAUCGCUCUCUUCCACUCUCUCCUGUUCCUUCCCGCCAAUUCAAAUCCCUCCCGCCGAAUCCCGCGAACUCUCCCGCCAUCUCUUUGCUCGCCAAGGCCACCCACCCCUCCCACCUCCCCCAGAUCCACGCCCACCUCGUCAAGACCGGCGCUGCCCGCAAUAACUUCUACGUCUCCAAGCUACUCUCCCUCCUCCUCCGCUUCCGCUGCCUCGCCGACGCCCGCCGCCUCCUUGACCACGCCGACCGGCCCAACGCCCUCCUGUGGAAUACCCUCCUCAAGGCAUAUGCCCACGAUGGCCUCUUCUUUGAAGCCCUCUCUCUUUACAAACAAAUGCUUCGAAGUGGAGUCACCCCUGACUUCUAUACCUUCCCCUUUGUCCUCAAAGCCUGUGAAGUCCUUUCCAUUGGAUGUUCGAUCCAUAGCUCGAUCGUAAAGCUUGGUGUUGAGACCAAUCUUCAUGUUCAAAAUUCAUUGAUUGCUUUUUACUGCAAAUGUUUUGCCAUCAAGCUGGCUCAGAAGAUGUUUGAUGACAUGGAUGAGAGAGAUUUGGUUUCAUAUACUUCGAUGAUCUCAGGCUAUGCUAAGGUUGAGGACAUGGAGCGUGCGUUGCUGCUGUUUGAGGCAAUGCCAGAGAGGGAUUUUGUGUCAUGGGGAGCUAUUAUUUCAGGGUUCAUUCAGAAUGGUUGCCCUGAAGAAGCUUUGUUUCUCUUUCGGGAGAUGCAGUUGUCUGGGGCUCCCCUGAGCGAAGUUGCGAUUGUCAGUGGUAUUUCUUCAUGUGCGAGCUUGGGGUUGAGGAGUUUGGGGCUCUGGCUGCAUGCUCUUAUGGUUAGGCAUGGUCUCGAGAUGAGCGUCUUUGUGGGCACAGCGCUUGUUGACAUGUAUGGCAAGUGUGGGGACUUGGAUAAUGCUCGUCGGAUGUUUCACUUGAUGACUGAAAAGAGUGUGGCCUCUUGGAAUGCUUUGAUUGGUGGACUCUCUGCGAAUGGAUGUGUUGAGGAAGCCCUAUUGGUCUUUGAAGAGAUGAUGAGAAUGGGAGUCAAACCCAAUUCCGUUACUCUGUCUUGCAUUCUAUCUGCUUGUAGACAUGGAGGACUCGUCAAGAAGGGGCAGUACUAUUUUGAGUACUUGAGUAAGGAGUAUGGGAUUUUGCUGAAUUUGGAUCACUAUGGAUGUAUGGUUGAUUUACUGGGGCGAGCAGGGCUUGUGCAUGAGGCUUAUGAAUUGAUUUGCAUGAUGCCAAUGGAGCCCAACGAGAUAGUCUGGGGAGCACUGUUGGGAGCUUGUAAGGUUCACAAAAAUCUUGAACUGGCAGAACAAGCACUCAAGAGGCUUGUGGAGCUUGACCCGAGGAAUGGUGGGAACUAUGUGCUACUCUCUAACAUGUAUGCCGAGCUUGGUAGGUGGGAGGAUGUUGAGAGGGUGAGAGUCAUGAUGAGAGAUCAUGGAGUGGAGAAAACCCGAGGUUGUAGCUCUAUUGAGGUGGAUAGUGUGGUUCAUGAGUUUAAUUCAGGUCUUCAGUCCCAUCCUAAUGCUUCAAAAAGUGUACAAGAAGUUUGAAAAAUGGUAUAGCAGAAUGGUAUCUCAAAUUUACAGUAAAAUGGAGGUUGCUAUGCAAGCAAGCACUUUGUACACCAUGCAGGGGGCAGCAAUAACAGCAGUUAAAAUCAGCUGGUCUACUCCUUGAGGAUCUGAACUGCAUUACUGUUGUCCAGUGCUCGGGUGAAGGUGGAGUUGAAAGAUUAGGAGACAGGACUGGUUUGAUGGUGUGGCACUGAAAGCAACCUUCUUUGGUCAGCUGCUGAGAGAGGUUCCCACAUGCCACAGCUGGUCAUCCCUGAGAGCGACCAACUGCCUAAAGACCUUGUCUUAUGGGAGGGGGGUCUGAUACUAGAGGCACUGCCUAUAGCUUUCUCCCAACCACAACCACCUUGUGAUCUAUUUGCAUUUCUUGCCUUAUAUUACAUUAAGAGCAAUCGAAUGGCAAUAAUUUGAGGGCACAGUGUAUCCCAGCCACCAAAUAAUUCCAUCUUAUUUGCAUUUGUUAAUCAAAUUAGGUUAGGUUCAAUGAAAUAAAGCACUUCUUGAUGGUUCAUCUGGUCCCUUAAUGGGAGAGUUGGUGUGUUUGGAUUUGAUCUAGGGGAAUGAGAAGAAAGAGCUUAUAUCUGUCCUCAUAUAGCUCCUGCUGUAAAUGGAAACUAAAACAACGAAUGUGAGAACCACCAACCGAUGCCUCUGUCCGUGCUGAUAAAUUUUUGCAGAGCCUUAUAAAGGUUUAUUUUUGCCGGCUUCAGCUCCUUUGGUGUCUCUAGUGGUGGUACAAUUCACUAGGGUUACUAUGUUGCGCAACUAAGAUUCAUCGGCGGAGCGCACUAUGUGAGAAAAUGAAUGAUUUUGCAAAGGGGACAAUCAGAAGAGUGUGAUUUUGGCCUCUAUUUUGUCAUUUGGCUGCUAUUACAUGAAAUUAUCCUUGGUACCAUGAUUCUUCUACUUGGCUGUGGUACUAGUGUCACAUCAAUAGCUAACCUGAACAACUUCUGGUAAAUUAAGAAUCUUCUGUAAUUUUCUCUAUGAAAAAGGUAAAAUGCUCAUACAUAAGAUUCUAAAAAUGCCAGAAAAUAUACUUUGGAGGAAUAGAAAUAUUGUUACCAUCAUUGUUUUCGAGAAGGUUGUUACCAUCAUUAGUAUUUGUUACUGUCAUUGUUUUCAAGAAGAUGGUUACUGUCAUUAGCUAUCAUUUGAAGUAGUAGAAAUAUUUGUUGCUAUCAUUGUUUUUGAGAAGAUUGUUAAUGUCAUUAUUGUUAUUGCCCACUACUUGCUGAUGAUCCAUCUCUAUUAUGACGAACAACCCACCAAGCCACGUUGUCCAAUGGCACUAUUAUAAGGACAAUCCAACAAAUAAGUUUCAAAAUAAAACAACAAGAACUGGGAAACGAAGAAUAACCCUUUUGUCUGCAUUAGGUUUUUAGGGCUUUCUUCUCAACCCUUAUUUUAGGCGACAGAAAACAUUGUCCACUUCAAUGUGCACAUCCCAAGUCGAUUGCAUCAUUCAUAACUGCUCAAUAGUUGCUUCUUCUCUUACUUGUGUCCAUAGAAUUAGGCGAUUCUUCUCACUGCAUGCAGAUUAAAAUUGUCUACUAACAGCACCCUAGCAAAUUUUAUCUUCAUGAAUAGGUACUUUGCAAUACUUUGAUGUAACUCCCAACUAAUCCUUGAUAAGGUCCUUCUAUUCUUUUCCAUCCUAGUAAAAAUAAUGAUAGCUACUCUUUUGGGAUCUUUUGAUGAUUGAGUUUGCUAACUGCAAGAUCAGAAAGAGAUGAAAGCGGAAUCCAUUAGUUGGAAAGAGAUAGGUGAUAGAUAUAUAUAAUCCGUGCCUCUUGCAGCAAGUGCCUAAUCUGGCGUGUUCAUCUGAUGGUAAAAUAAUUUAUGGUGAAUGUCUCCUUGGACAUAUUUUCAUCUAUGUUGUUGAGUGGACCUAUUAUUUCAUUACAAAAUUCUUUAUCUUGAAAAUUAUUGCAGUGUAGUUAUUACUCAAAUGCACGUAACAAUACUCUUAUUGUAUUUCUAGACAGAUUGAU